rnacentral:lncRNA from 1 species
AAAAACUUUGAAAUUGAUUCAGUUGAUUGUCUAUAUUUGAGAAUAUUAUUAUUGCUUGACUAAAGUAGCAACACUAUGUAACACCCUAUUUUGGCCCGGGUCUAAAAGACCUGCAUUACAGACAAGCCCACAUGGCCCAACUAAUAAAAACUAAGAUUGGCCUAUAUGGCCCAAAUCCAAACAAAACAGCGGCUCAAAUCGGACCCUAGCCCAAAGCUCGGGGAGCAGAUGGAACCCUAGGGCAGUGCCACAAGCCAAGCUUCGUCCCCGAAUCUUCGUGAUCUUCACCUGCAAGGAAACCAACAACAUAUGGAAAGAAAAAUCAUGUAUUUGCGAAUCAAAGAUAUGACCAGAUUUUUU